rnacentral:lncRNA from 1 species
UCAAAAGAAAAAGUCAAUAUCUACUAGCUAACUACAUCAUGAUCACUCCAUCCCGUAAUCCCCAUAAUCAUAUGUCAUCACCUGCAAAAUGUAAAUAGUAGGAGUGAGCUAACAGCUCAGUAGGCAACAUCAUGCAAUAAAGUCAUCAUAUAACAUGUCAUGAUACAUAUGAAAAGCAGCUAAAACUCAUAAAUUCAAAAUCCACACGAUAACCCGUAAACCCAAUCCGAGACUCAAAAUAACUUAACCGCAUGACUACGGCCACAUCACCCAGUGACAUGGUUACACCGUAGUGCCAAUACAACUCUCCGAAGAGCCGCUCCACUGAGCCAACGCACCACUGUGCUGCACCCCCUGGUGCCAAUCUCACGCUCCACCGAGCCGCUCCGAAGAGCAAAAAUACACCCCCUGUGCCGCCACUAUUCUAUCACCGGUGGUCGCGGUGUCGGAACUAGUUCCUCAGUACAA